rnacentral:sRNA from 1 species
AGCAGCCGCGGUAAUUCCAGCUCCAAUAGCGUAUAUUAAAGUUGUUGCAGUUAAAAAGCUCGUAGUUGAAUUUCGGGAUCAAUAUGUUGGUCGUGCCUUGGUACGUACUGGCAUUAUUGGUUUCUACCUUCUGAAGAACCUCGAUGUCAUUAAUUUGGUGUCUUGGGGAAUCAGGACUGUUACUUUGAAAAAAUUAGAGUGUUUAAAGCAGGCUCGCGCUUGAAUACAUUAGCAUGGAAUAAUGAAAUAGGACGUUUGAUUCUAUUUUGUUGGUUUCUAGGAUUGACGUAAUGAUUAAUAGGGAUAGUUGGGGGCAUUAGUAUUCAAUUGUCAGAGGUGAAAUUCUUGGAUUUAUUGAAGACUAACUACUGCGAAAGCAUUUGCCAAGGAUGUUUUCAUUAAUCAAGAACGAAAGUUAGGGGAUCGAAGACGAUCAGAUACCGUCGUAGUCUUAACCAUAAACUAUGCCGACUAGGGAUCGGAUGAUGUUAAUUUUUAAUGACUCAUUCGGCGCCUUAAC